rnacentral:rRNA from 1 species
UACGUAGGUGGCAAGCGUUAUCCGGAUUUAUUGGGUGUAAAGGGCGUGUAGGCGGGAAUGCAAGUCAGAUGUGAAAACUAUGGGCUCAACCCAUAGCCUGCAUUUGAAACUGUAUUUCUUGAGUGCUGGAGAGGCAAUCGGAAUUCCAGGUGUAGGAGUGAAAUCCGUAGAUAUCUGGAGGAACAUCAGUGGCGAAGGCGGCCACCUGGACCGGUAUUGACGCUGAGGCACGAAAGCGUGGGGAUCGAACAGG